UACGUAGGGGGCUAGCGUUGUCCGGAUUUAUUGGGCGUAAAGAGCGUGUAGGCGGCCAGGUAGGUCUGCUGUGAAAACUCGAGGCUCAACCUCGAGACGCCGAUGGAAACCAUCUGGCUAGAGUCCGGAAGAGGAGAGUGGAAUUCCUGGUGUAGCGGUGAAAUGCGCAGAUAUCGGGAAGAACACCCGUGGCGAAGGCGGCUCUCUGGGACGGUACUGACGCUGAGACGCGAAAGCGUGGGGAGCAAACAGG
rnacentral:rRNA from 1 species